UCUUAUGCAAGAAUAGAGACAUUGACUUUCUUCUAUUCACAAGAGAUCUCAUGACUCAAAUUAAAGUAAUUCUCUGCUUUUUUGUACAAUUAAAAAAAAUACUUAGCAUGGAUGACCAUGCGGACUAAAGCAUUUCCUAUAUAUUUUGUAAUUCUCUUCCUUUUGUACAAUUUUAAAAAAAAAUACUUGGCAUGGAUGACCAUGCGGAUUAAAGCAUUUCAUAUUUUGUAAUUCUCUACUAAGUUUCCGUCUCAUGGUAUUUUGGAAUUUGGAUCCAUACUUAUAGCACGUGAAAGCAACUUCAUAUGGAAGAAUUGUUGGGGAUGCAUAUUCUCUGUCUUCAAAUUAGAAAUUGGUGGGGACGGAUACUGAAUAGAAGUCUUUAGAUUUCGCUAUGGAACUCUAAAUGAUACUUUAAAUUUUUUAUUAUUUAUUUAUUUUUUAUCAUCUAAUUAAAUAUAAAUUAUUCAGAUUUUAAUCGAUUGAAGAGCUAAUGUGCAUAAUUGAAAUGGUAAAUAAUUUAAAAAUUAAGAUUAUUUCAACAUUAAAAUUGAUAGCUUCAAUUUUCCUUUUCAAAAAAACUUCUCUAUGGGUCACUAAAGGCGGAGGAGUCAUGAGUGGAUGGGAGAGAUCUGAAGAAAAAUUAGAUAGUUCUAGACAUGCAUUUUUAAAAUUUUUUUUACAGUGAAAUAGGCUAGAUUAAAUAUUUUAAUCUCUCGCACAUGCUUUAGAUCAGAUUUAAACUACCCACUAAGAAUCAUAUGAUAUGAAUUUAUGCAUAAAAUCUAAUUUCAAAAAUUGUUGAUCACAUCAACAUACACGUUGUAUAUCACAUCUACAAAUCUAGAUCACAUCUAGUUACAGAGAUCGGAUCUCUUACCAGAGCGUGGGUUGAUGAUUGCCGCUGUUGAGAUACAUGGUAAAGGGAUCUUCCUAAUUGCUCACAGUCGUACAAGAUGUCCGGCCUCUACGGAAAGUCCACUUGAAGAUCUGAUGCUGAUCAGGCUUUCUAGGAGUGCUAGCUUGCGUGAAGUUCUUCUUAUCGGUUGAUCUACACUACUCCAUCAAUCCAUUCGGACUCUCCUAGAGGAUGAUGAAGGAUGUCUAGGAGGAGGAUCAAGUGUUGGAAGAAGAAGUAGAGAACUCUCUUUUCUUUUUCACUCUUCCUAAAACCCUAGUAGAAACCCUAGGGCACACACACUAAAACCUCACACCCACAAAGGAAGUCUAUAUCCUCUGUACAUGCACAUAGAAGACCCACCCCCUCUCUUUGUUCACACCCCCUCUAAGAACCUUUUUCAUAGUAAUUCCAUCUCUUAAAUUGUCGCACAAAUCUGAUAUAGUUUUAUGGUUGGCGUGGAGACUAGUAAGGAUAAGGAUCAAGUGGUUAUUUAACUCAAAUUCAAACUUCCUUUGAAU
rnacentral:lncRNA from 1 species